AACGAACGCUGGCGGCAGGCCUAACACAUGCAAGUCGAGCGCCCCGCAAGGGGAGCGGCGGACGGGUGAGUAACGCGUGGGAACGUGCCUCUUGCUACGGAAUAGCCUCGGGAAACUGGGAGUAAUACCGUAUAAGCCCUACGGGGGAAUGAUUUAUCGGCAAGAGAUCGGCCCGCGUUGGAUUAGGUAGUUGGUGGGGUAAUGGCCUACCAAGCCGACGAUCCAUAGCUGGUUUGAGAGGAUGAUCAGCCACACUGGGACUGAGACACGGCCCAGACUCCUACGGGAGGCAGCAGUGGGGAAUCUUAGACAAUGGGCGCAAGCCUGAUCUAGCCAUGCCGCGUGAGCGAUGAAGGCCUUAGGGUUGUAAAGCUCUUUCGUGGGGGAAGAUAAUGACUGUACCCCAAGAAGAAGCCCCGGCUAACUCCGUGCCAGCCGCCGCAGUAA
rnacentral:rRNA from 1 species